rfam:Triticum aestivum genome assembly, contig: Triticum_aestivum_CS42_TGACv1_scaffold_080233_1DS
UAACUACUCCCUCCGUCCCAAAAUUCUUGUCUUAAAUUUGUCUAAAUACGGAUGUAUCAAGUCACGUUUUAGUAUUAGGUACAUUCGCAUCUAGAUAAAUCUAAGACAAGAAUUUUGGGACGAAGGGAGUAUUUG